CCUGGGGACAGCUGAGUACAGGUGGGGACACCUGGGGACAGCUGGGGACAGCUGGGCACACCUGGGGGCAGCUGGGACACCUGGGGACAGCUGGGACACACCUGGGGGCACCUGGGGAUACCUGGGGAUACCUGGGACACCUGGGGACAGGUGACACACCUGGGCCACAUCUGGGGACAUUUGGGACAAACCUGGGGACAGAUGGGGACAGCUGGAGACACCUGGGGGCACCUGGGGAUACCUGGGACACCUGGGGACUCAUACACACACCUGGGGGCAGCUGGGACACACCUGGGACAGCUGGGGACAUGUGGGGAUACCUGGGGACACCUGGGGGCACCUGGGACAGCUGGGGACUCAUACACACACCUGGGGGCACCUGGGGACACCUGGGCACACCUGGGGACACCUGGGGACACCUGGGGAUACCUGGGACACACCUGGGGCACACCCAGGGCACACCUGGGACAGCUGGGGACACCUGGGGACAGCUGGGCACACUUGGGGACAGCUGGGGACACCUGGGGAUACCUGGGACACACCUGGGGCACACCUGGGCACACCUGGGACAGCUGGGGACAGCUGGGGACAGCUGGGCACACCUGGGGAUACCUGGGGACACCUGGGGACACCUGGGACACACCUGGGGACACCUGGGAUACACCUGGGGCACACCCAGGGCACACCUGUCGCACCUGUCCCGCCUGUGCCACCCAUCCUCACCUGUGUCACCUGUCUCACCUGGGCACACCUGGGGCACACCCGGGGGCCACCUGGGGCACACCUGGGGCACACCUGUGCCAUUCAUCCUCACCUCUCCCACCUGUGUCACCUGGGCACACCUGGGGCACUUGUCCCACCUGUCCCACCUGUCCCUUCCAUCCCCACCUGUCCCUCACCUGUCCCACCUGUCUCACCUGUCCCAGGUUACUUCCCAGACAUGCUGCAGUGCGGGGUGGUGUUCACCUGUCCCUCACCUGUCCCAGGUUACUUCCCAGACAUGCUGCAGUGCGGGGUG
rnacentral:lncRNA from 1 species